rnacentral:rRNA from 1 species
GAUUACCUCAGUAACGGCGAGUGAAGCGGUAACAGCUCAAAUUUGAAAUCUGGGUCUUUCAGGCUCCGAGUUGUAAUUUGUAGAAGAUGCUUUGGGUGCGGCCCCGGUCUAAGUUCCUUGGAACAGGACGUCAUAGAGGGUGAGAAUCCCGUAUGUGAUCGGUGGCUUGCGCCCGUGUAAAGCUCUUUCGACGAGUCGGGUUGUUUGGGAAUGCAGCUCUAAAUGGGUGGUAAAUUUCAUCUAAAGCUAAAUAUUGGCCAGAGACCGAUAGCGCACAAGUAGAGUGAUCGAAAGAUGAAAAGCACUUUGGAAAGAGAGUUAAACAGUACGUGAAAUUGUUGAAAGGGAAGCGCUUGCAACCAGACUUGCGCGGGGUUGAUCAUCCGGGGUUCUCCCCGGUGCACUCGGCCUCGCUCAGGCCAGCAUCGGUUUCGGUGGUUGGAUAAAGGCCUUGGGAAUGUGACUCCUUUCGGGGAGUGUUAUAGCCCUCGGUGCAAUGCAGCCUACCGGGACCGAGGACCGCGCUUCGGCUAGGAUGCUGGCGUAAUGGUUGUAAGCGACCCGUCUUGAAACACGGACCAAGGAGUCUAACAUCUAUGCGAGUGUUUGGGUGUCAAACCCAUACGCGUAAUGAAAGUGAACGGAGGUGAGAACCCUUAAGGGUGCAUCAUCGACCGAUCCUGAUGUCUUCGGAUGGAUUUGAGUAAGAGCAUAGCUGUUGGGACCCGAAAGAUGGUGAACUAUGCCUGAAUAGGGUGAAGCCAGAGGAAACUCUGGUGGAGGCUCGCAGCGGUUCUGACGUGCAAAUCGAUCGUCAAAUUUGGGUAUAGGGGCGAAAGACUAAUCGAACCAUCUAGUAGCUGGUU